rnacentral:miRNA from 1 species
UUAGCACUGUUAAUCUCCAAUUUGCAAAAAUAAGUUUUUUCAACAUUUUGUUAUGACUAAAUGUUGAAAAAACUUAUUUUUGCAAAUUGGAGAAUAACAGUGCUAA